rnacentral:rRNA from 1 species
UACGAAGGGGGCUAGCGUUGCUCGGAAUCACUGGGCGUAAAGGGCGCGUAGGCGGCCGUUCAAGUCAGGGGUGAAAGCCCAAGGCUCAACCUUGGAAUUGCCUUUGAUACUGUACGGCUAGAGACCGGAAGAGGUUAGUGGAACUGCGAGUGUAGAGGUGAAAUUCGUAGAUAUUCGCAAGAACACCAGUGGCGAAGGCGGCUGACUGGUCCGGUUCUGACGCUGAGGCGCGAAAGCGUGGGGAGCAAACAGG